rnacentral:rRNA from 1 species
UACGGAGGGUGCGAGCGUUUGUUCGGAAUUACUGGGCGUAAAGGGCGCGUAGGCGGCCUUCUAAGUCGAACGUGAAAUCCCUGGGCUCAACCCAGGAACUGCGUCCGAUACUGGAAGGCUUGAAUCCGGGAGAGGGAUGCGGAAUUCCUGAGUGUAGCGGUGAAAUGCGUAGAUAUCUGGAGGAACACCGGUGGCGAAGGCGGCAUCCUGGACCGGUAUUGACGCUGAGGCGCGAAAGCUAGGGGAGCAAACGGGG